UGGAUUUCUCCCCUACUGUUCUCACGAUAGAGAGUGAGUUCUCAUGAGAUCUGAUUGUUUAACAGGGUGCAGCACCUCGCCCUGCUCUCGCUUCUUCCUUCUCCAGCCAUGUACGACAUGCCUGCUUCCCCUUUGCCUUCUGCCAUGAUUAUGUUUCCUGAGGCCUCCCCAGCCAUGCUUCCUGUACAGCCUGCAUAACUGGGCAACUUAGACAGAUACAGACGCACAUAGAAGAAACAUGAUGUGACGACUAGACAAACAUAGAAAGUAGACGACUAUCUAUAAACCCAUAAAAGAGACCUGGAAUAGAUUAUUUACUCACGGCCUUCAGAAGAAAUCAAUCCUGAUGACACAGUGAUUU
rnacentral:lncRNA from 10 species